rnacentral:rRNA from 1 species
GACGAACGCUGGCGGCGUGCUUAACACAUGCAAGUCGAACGGAAAGGCCCUGCUUUUGGGGGUUGCUCGAGUGGCGAACGGGUGAGUAACACGUGAGUAACCUGCCCUUGACUUUGGGAUAACUUCAGGAAACUGGGGCUAAUACCGGAUAGGAGCUCCUGCUGCAUGGUGGGGGUUGGAAAGUUUCGGCGGUUGGGGAUGGACUCGCGGCUUAUCAGCUUGUUGGUGGGGUAGUGGCUUACCAAGGCUUUGACGGGUAGCCGGCCUGAGAGGGUGACCGGCCACAUUGGGACUGAGAUACGGCCCAGACUCCUACGGGAGGCAGCAGUGGGGAAUAUUGCACAAUGGGCGGAAGCCUGAUGCAGCAACGCCGCGUGCGGGAUGACGGCCUUCGGGUUGUAAACCGCUUUCGCCUGUGACGAAGCGUGAGUGACGGUAAUGGGUAAAGAAGCACCGGCUAACUACGUG